AGCGAACGCUGGCGGCAGGCCUAACACAUGCAAGUCGAACGAACUCUUCGGAGUUAGUGGCGGACGGGUGAGUAACACGUGGGAACGUGCCUUUUGGUUCGGAAUAACUCAGGGAAACUUGUCUAAUACCGAAUGUGCCCUUCGGGGGAAAGAUUUAUCGCCAUUAGAGCGGCCCGCGUCUGAUUAGCUAGUUGGUGAGGUAACGGCUCACCAAGGCGACGAUCAGUAGCUGGUCUGAGAGGAUGACCAGCCACACUGGGACUGAGACACGGCCCAGACUCCUACGGGAGGCAGCAGUGGGGAAUCUUGCGCAAUGGGCGAAAGCCUGACGCAGCCAUGCCGCGUGAAUGAUGAAGGUCUUAGGAUUGUAAAAUUCUUUCACCGGGGACGAUAAUGACGGUACCCGGAGAAGAAGCCCCGGCUAACUUCGUG
rnacentral:rRNA from 1 species